rnacentral:rRNA from 1 species
UACGAAGGGUGCAAGCGUUAAUCGGAAUUACUGGGCGUAAAGCGCGCGUAGGUGGUUCAGUAAGUUGGAUGUGAAAUCCCCGAGCUUAACUUGGGAAUUGCAUUCGAUACUGGUUGGCUAGAGUAUGGGAGAGGAUGGUAGAAUUCCAGGUGUAGCGGUGAAAUGCGUAGAUAUAGGAAGGAACACCAGUGGCGAAGGCGACCACCUGGACUGAUACUGACACUGAGGUGCGAAAGCGUGGGGAGCAAACAGG